rnacentral:rRNA from 1 species
AUCUGCCUUUCAGACGGGGACAACUCAGGGAAACUUGUGCUAAUACCCGAUGAGACUACGGGAGGGGACUUCUGUAGCCAAAGGUGGGGGCAACCUCACGCUGAAAGAUGAGUCUGCGUCCUAUCAGCUAGUUGGUGGGGUAAAAGCCUACCAAGGCGAAGACGGGUAGCCGGCCUGAGAGGGUGAACGGCCACACUGGGACUGAGACACGGCCCAGACUCCUACGGGAGGCAGCAGUGAGGAAUUUUCCGCAAUGGGCGCAAGCCUGACGGAGCGACGCCGCGUGAGGGAUGACGGCCUUCGGGUUGUAAACCUCUUUUAUUAAGGAAAAAGGCAAUCGUGCUAACACCACGGUUGUUUGAUGGUACUUAUUGAAUAAGCCCCGGCUAACUACGUGCCAGCAGCCGCGGUAAUACGUAGGGGGCGAGCGUUGUCCGGAGUUACUGGGCGUAAAGAGCGUGUAGGCGGUUGAAAAAGUCAGGUGUGAAAUUCUUCGGCUCAACCGGGGGACUGCGCCUGAAACUUUUCGACUGGAGUUCGGGAGGGGCAACUGGAAUUCCUGGUGUAACGGUGAAAUGUGUAGAUAUCAGGAGGAACACCCGUGGCGAAGGCGGGUUGCUGGACCGAAACUGACGCUGAGACGCGAAAGCGUGGGUAGCAAACAGGAUUAGAUACCCUGGUAGUCCACGCUGUAAACGAU